CAAUGACUCCAAGACUAAAGGCAGAUCCCUUUGACAAUUUUGAAGAAGUGAUUGAUUCUGAUGAAGAGUUGAACUUGGCAUCAAUGGUGAUCAGUCCGUGAAGCGAUGUCAAAGAAAAUGCCUCGUGGAGAAGGGUCCGGACAACAGGAUUGAGAACUUGAAGAUUACUGUAGAUAUCACUUUGACUGGUGGUUUGUUGGUUGGGGAUGGUAGAGCAAAAGGAGACGAAAUUCUACUAAAAUACUCAUGUUGAAUAAUUAUCAUACAUUGAGCACCUCUGAUAAGAUAGUUAGCAUUGAAUCAACUAUGUUGCACCUCUUAAUCAAAUAUUAUUUCUCUUAGUUGAUAGAAGACUAAACAAAAUCAUUUUUAAGUGUUACAAAAAUUGAAGCCUUUCUGAUUUCUUCUUUCUUCUUCUUGGGUUGCAUCAGCAAGAUCAUGUGUAUUGAAUGAGAGCAUCACAUUAUUCAA